rnacentral:misc_RNA from 1 species
AUUAUUAUUAUUAUUAUUAUUACGCGCUUUUUGUUUGAUCGCUCCUGUUAUUCCUGAUUCGAAUUCGAUUUGCAAGUUCUAUGCUCGGGUCUUUGUAUGAUUUUUUUUUUCUCAAAAAAAUUUCUUAGCGGUUAUAGUUGUAUUAAUUCGUAGCAUGGCCUGCUUAAGGAGUGGACAAGGUCUAGAGGAAAGUAUUAUUUUGUAAAAUGGAAAAGUAUUUAUUGUCCAUGGUUUUGCGUCUUUUGUGGGGAAUUGGAACUUGGUGUUGUUUACUGUCCAAGCAUGUAUUCCACUGAAUAUUUGUUGUAGUUAAUCAUGGUUAAGUUAUUGGUUUUUUAUGAUAGAAACUAACAUUGUAUUUUGGCUUGGGUGAUAAUGACAUAUUGAAAAGAUAUUGAAAAUAAACUGGUCAAUAAAAUCUCAAGAGU